GUAGGCUAAAAAGGAGUAAAAAGGGGGUGAAAUAUUAGUCUUCUACAGUCAAAUGCAGGCUUCAAAUAAGACAGACUGUGGCUUACUUCAGUUUCAUUGAGCUGGACUAGCAUAUUUGGUUAUUUACCUAGCUGUUGUAUGAGAAAGGAAUAAAAGUCUGUUCUAUUUUUAUUAAGAAACUAAACACCUCUUUUUUUGCUGGUCAAGGAGAGCAAGUGUAAUGGACUGGAUAUAAACAACAGGCUUUGAAAUCUAGUUCUAACAUGACUCAGCUGAAAGGGUGCCAUACCUUUCCACAUUCAAGUCACAGAGUUGGUAGAACAUCUGCCGGUAAGGGGGUAAGGCUCCUUCUCGGAAAAUGUAGAUGGAUUCCUAAGAAGAGCAAAGAUAGCAAGGAUUUAAUGCGCGUUUUGUGGUGUAAUAGGGCAACCCUGACACAAGGCAUUUCCUACACAACUCUGUUCCAAGGCAAUAUCCAAGCUGCAGCUCUAGCUGUAGCUUGUUACUACGUAACAGCAGAUCAGAGGUUUUGUUCUAGCAAAAAGGAGGAAAAAAAUAGACUCCUGUUUAAAUAUUUAUUUGGCCUUGCUGGAUUGUGCAAGAUGAUAAACACACGGCAAUGUUUUGCACUUUGCUGCCCAUAAAGUUCUCCAACUUUAUAAACUGAAACAAAACGCUCAUCGUGUUUAAGACUGGGGUAAGACUACAAUUCCCAUCUUGCAGUGUGUAAGAAAUACAUUCAGUGAGCAGCAGAUGAAGUUCUGGAGGGACAUGUUCAGCUAGCAGCUUCCCAGCUUGCAGCCUCAGCCAGGACCACGGGCAGAUGCCCAGACUUACCAUGUAAUAGGCCAGGUACGGCAACAGCAGUUUCAGCUUGUCUGGGUGGACGUUGACAUUGGCUUUUACUGCAUUCCGGGACCAGACUGGACGGACUUCAAAGAGCUAAAAUAAUACAUCAUCACUUCAGUCUUAAAUUCCUCAGGGGAAACAUUUCCCUUUCCCAUCAGCCCUUCCCAUCAACCUUUAAGCCCUGCGGAC